rnacentral:rRNA from 1 species
GACGAACGCUGGCGGCGUGCUUAACACAUGCAAGUCGAACGGAAAGGCCCUGCUUUUGUGGGGUGCUCGAGUGGCGAACGGGUGAGUAACACGUGAGUAACCUGCCCUUGACUUUGGGAUAACUUCAGGAAACUGGGGCUAAUACCGGAUAGGAGCUCCUGCUGCAUGGUGGGGGUUGGAAAGUUUCGGCGGUUGGGGAUGGACUCGCGGCUUAUCGGCUUGUUGGGGGGGUAGUGGCUUACCAAGGCUUUGACGGGUAGCCGGCCUGGGAGGGUGACCGGCCACAUUGGGACUGAGAUACGGCCCAGACUCCUACGGGAGGCAGCAGUGGGGAAUAUUGCACAAUGGGCGGAAGCCUGAUGCAGCAACGCCGCGUGCGGGAUGACGGCCUUCGGGUUGUAAACCGCUUUCGCCUGUGACGAAGCGUGAGUGACGGUAAUGGGUAAAGAAGCACCGGCUAACUACGUG